UACGAAGGGGGCUAGCGUUGUUCGGAAUCACUGGGCGUAAAGAGUGCGUAGGCGGGUCUUUAAGUCAGGGGUGAAAUCCUGGAGCUCAACUCCAGAACUGCCUUUGAUACUGAGGAUCUUGAGGUCGGGAGAGGUGAGUGGAACUGCGAGUGUAGAGGUGAAAUUCGUAGAUAUUCGCAAGAACACCAGUGGCGAAGGCGGCUCACUGGCCCGAUACUGACGCUGAGGCACGAAAGCGUGGGGAGCAAACAGG
rnacentral:rRNA from 1 species